rnacentral:misc_RNA from 1 species
GAUGAAGAACGUAGCGAAAUGCGAUAAGUAGUGUGAAUUGCAGAAUUCAGUGAAUCAUCGAAUCUUUGAACGCACAUUGCGCCCGCCAGUAUUCUGGCGGGCAUGCCUGUUCGAGCGUCAUUUCAACCAUCAAGCCCCAGGCUUGUGUUGGGGACCUGCGGCUGCCGCAGGCCCUGAAAACCAGUGGCGGGCUCGCUGUCACACCGGGCGUAGUAGAUUUUAUCUCGCUCAGGGCGUGCUGCGGGUUCCGGCCGUUAAAAAGCCUUUUUUACCCAAGGUUGACCUCGGAUCAGGUAGGAAGACCCGCUGAACUUAAGCAUAUCAAUAAGCGGAGGA